rnacentral:pre_miRNA from 1 species
UCUAGAACUCGAGAUAUAGGCUGAACACCGAAUAAUAUCUGGGCUACCUGACAGAUUCAGACUUCUCUUUUAUUACUAACAUUUGAACUUUAAAA